GGGCCCAUAGCUCAGUUGGUUAGAGCAGCUGACUCAUAAUCAGCGGGUCGUAGGUUCGAGUCCUACUGGGCCCACCA
rnacentral:tRNA from 1 species